GCUUUGGGUAGCUGUAAGUAAGCGUUAAUCCAGAGAUUUCCGAAUGGGGAAACCCAGCACAAGGUAUGUUGUGUUAUCGACAAGUGAAUUCAUAGCUUGUCAGAAGGCAGACCCGGAGAACUGAAACAUCUUAGUACCCGGAGGAAGAGAAAGAAAAUUCGAUUCCCUGAGUAGCGGCGAGCGAAACGGGAAGAGCCCAAACCAAUAAGCUUGCUUAUUGGGGUUGUAGGACACUCUAUACGGAGUUACAAAGGAAUAUAUUAAACGAAUCAUCUGGAAAGUUGAAUCAAAGAAGGUAAUAAUCCUGUAGUUGAAAAUAUAUUCUCUCUUGAGUGGAUCCUGAGUACGACGGAGCACGUGAAAUUCCGUCGGAAUCUGGGAGGACCAUCUCCUAAGGCUAAAUACUCUCUAGUGACCGAUAGUGAACCAGUGAAGGGAGAGAAGGAAGAAAAGUGGGGAGGGAGGGGAAACAAAAAGAACAUGAAACCGUGUGCUUACAAGUAGUCAGAGCCCGUUAAUGGGUGAUGGCGUGCCUUUUGUAGAAUGAACCGGCGAGUUACGAUCUGAUGCAAGGUUAAGCAGAAAAUGUGGAGCCGUAGCGAAAGCGAGUCUGAAUAGGGCGUAUAGUAUUUGGUCGUAGACCCGAAACCAGGUGAUCUACCCAUGGUCAGGUUGAAGUUCAGGUAACACUGAAUGGAGGACCGAACCGACUUACGUUGAAAAGUGAGCGGAUGAACUGUGGGUAGCGGAGAAAUUCCAAUCGAACUUGGAGAUAGCUGGUUCUCUCCGAAAUAGCUUUAGGGCUAGCCUCAAGUGAUGAUUAUUGGAGGUAGAGCACUGUUUGGACGAGGGGCCCCUCUCGGGUUACCGAAUUCAGACAAACUCCGAAUGCCAAUUAAUUUAACUUGGGAGUCAGAACAUGGGUGAUAAGGUCCGUGUUCGAAAGGGAAACAGCCCAGACCACCAGCUAAGGUCCCAAAAUAUAUGUUAAGUGGAAAAGGAUGUGGCGUUGCCCAGACAACUAGGAUGUUGGCUUAGAAGCAGCCAUCAUUUAAAGAGUGCGUAAUAGCUCACUAGUCGCGUGACACUGCGCCGAAAAUGUACCGGGUCUCAACAUAUUACCGAAGCUGCGGAUUGUCCUUUGGACAAUGGUAGGAGAGCGUUCUAAGUGCGUUGAAGCAUGAUCGCAAGGACAUGUGGAGCGCUUAGAAGUGAGAAUGCCGGUGUGAGUAGCGAAAGACGGGUGAGAAUCCCGUCCACCGAUUGACUAAGGUUUCCAGAGGAAGGCUCGUCCGCGCUGGGUUAGUCGGGUCCUAAGAUGAGGCAGACAGGCGUAGGCGAUGGAUAACAGGUUGGUAUUCCUGUACCACCUAUAAUCGUUUUAAUCGAUGGGGGGACGCAGUAGGAUAGGCGAAACGGACGAUUGGAUUGUACGUUUAAGCAGUGAGAUUG
rnacentral:rRNA from 1 species